rnacentral:rRNA from 1 species
UACGUAGGGUGCAAGCGUUGUCCGGAAUUAUUGGGCGUAAAGAGCUCGUAGGCGGUUUGUUGCGUCGGCUGUGAAAUCCCCGAGGCUCAACCUCGGGUCUGCAGUCGAUACGAGCAAACUAGAGUGUUGCAGGGGAGACUGGAAUUCAUGGUGUAGCAGUGAAAUGCGCAGAUAUCAGGAGGAACACCGGUGGCGAAGGCGGGGUCUCUGGGGCCGAUACUGACGCUGAGGAGCGAAAAGCGUGGGGGAGCGAACAGG